GCGCCCGCAUGCUAGCACAGGCCAUUGUUAACAAUGAGAUGUUGUCAUGUCUGUGCUUGUUACGUCCUCCCAGAUGGAUUUGGCCGAUCGUCUCCCGGGGCGACAUCUGUCUCGGUAGACGGCGUGCCGAGACGCGGCGAGAUGGUCGAUACCUGAUGAAUACGACGUGGAUGCACAGACCGCGAGAGAGCACGAUGGAACUGCCUCCCCAUUCCCCACCUUCCAUGAGUGUGACCAUAUUUUCAUUAGCCAAAACCAGGACAACCGCCAGCAACGACAAAGGAUCCUGGAAGGCAACUUUUUGGUGGAGAUUUUGCGGAGCAGGAAGUGGGCUGCUAGCAUGAAGCUGGACCAGCACAUGGAAACACGUGUCAGUGUUACGUUUGCUUUCUUCAUCCGCGUUUGUGACAUAAACAGCGUAAAGUGCGUUGUGAGCAACAUACUGUUAGCAUGAGAUUUUAUGACCUUUGAUGACCUUCUUGAUGUGGGAUAUGCCAAGCAAGCAUACGGGGAAGGUGUGAGGGCUAAACGUAAGCCAUGCUAUCAGUUAGCUGGCCAUCAAUCAGCAUAACAGCAGUGGCGGGCAUACGUCGCAUGCUAACACGGUCACGUGCGUGUGCUAAUGUGCUGUUCGGGCGCCAGGAAGCCGUGCGUCAUUCCGUCACGCAGAUUGAAGCGGAGCUCUGGCCUCAAAUGAAAAGGUAACUUUUCAGCUUUUUCUGUCCCCUGCUGUUUUAUUCCACACAGGAAGACACAAUUCCUCCAAAAGCCGAGAAUCUUUCACAGAAAUUGGUUGCGGAAGGAGGACUUCAAUCACAAUGGGUCGUCCACCUUUUCUGUCGCGCUCAUCACUAAUUCUGUUGGAAAGAACCUGCUGACAUUUCCUGAGGACAAUCAUGACGUGUUGAUCUUCACAUCUCCUCUGGAGAUUCCUCGCCGCCUUGGUGGUGAUGUCCAUUCCUUCAUUGGACUUCCUGAGAGUUCAAAGCGCCACAGCCGCUAGCGUCCCUCCAUGCCUCUGGAGAUGACGGGCGGCGGCGGAGUGACGGGCCGGAAAACUCACGCUGACAGACGGAGACCAAUGAGGAGGAACGAGCGAAGAGGAUGACGGGUGAAGGAGGGAAGGCUGCACGCAAAAAGUUGCACCUGUUGAUGCCCCUUCCUUGCCGACGCCCCCCUUCAUCAGCAGCCAAUCAAUCAGUCCAUCAGUCGCCCCCCCCCCCUCUCCACAGUCAUCUUACCCGGAGAACGUCAGUGGCAGCUUGAGAAGGUGAAGCCUGACAGCAACACCACGUCAUGCCACGUUGGCAUGGAUCUCCCUACAGGAGGGCACGUCAUGCCACGUUGGCAUGGAUCUCCCCACAGGACGGCACGUCAUGCCACGUUGGCAUGGAUCUCCCCACAGGAUGGCACGCUGGUCCUGCGCUGCUUCAGCGUUUCAGCGUCAUGCGUUCCUUCAUUCAGUAGCGAAUCAUCCCAGCCUGUUUUUGGUGGGAAAGUGUCCACAUUUCAACAAACGCUUCCUGCUUUUUGCCACAAUGAAGCAUGAAAAUGAAGUCAAAUAGAAAUAAGGCAGCAUUCCACUUGUGAGUGUAGUACCCUAGGCUGGCCACCAGGUGUCUCACAACACAAUGAUAACAUUCUGCUGGUUCUGCAUGCAGGGUGAAAGGUAAUGUAGUCUAGGUAAAGUACAGUACAGUACAGUACAGUACAGUAACCCUGCCACCAUAAUCAAUGAAUGAAUGAACAGCACCCGUGCAUCACGUAACAUACAUCAACAACACGCCACAGGCUGGAUGACAUGUCUCAACACCUGGCCGUGUUGGUUCUCUCGUAGAAUAAACGGCAUGAGUGAACCCUCCUGUCAGCCAUUCACUCUCUUUGUCCCUGUGGGGAGAGGCGGGCUAGCGUUGUGUGGUGCGCUACAUGAUGGAAUACUUGCUGAUCAAUUUCUGCCUGUUUGCGCAUCAGCAUUCUGG